GUACUCACUUUGGUAGUACACAUACUAAAAUUGGAACAAUUUAAAGAAGAUUAACAUGGCCCCUUAGCAAGGAUUAUACACAUUUGUGAAGCAUUCUAUAAGAAUUUU
ensembl:snRNA U6 U6 spliceosomal RNA